AUUUGAUGCUGUGGGCAUCUAGUGCACAAUUUGUUAAACCUUUCCCAAUAGUCAUACAAGGACUCCCCGGGAUACUGUUUAAUGCUGCAGAUUUCCUUUCUCAAACU